rnacentral:rRNA from 1 species
AACCUGGUUGAUCCUGCCAGUAGUCAUAUGCUUGUCUCAAAGAUUAAGCCAUGCAUGUCUAAGUAAAAACUAAAUAAUGGUGAAACUGCAAAUGGCUCAUUACAACGGUUAUGAUGUACCCGGGAUCUCCGUUGGAUAUUUCCAGUAACACUAGAGCUAAUACAUGUUUCUGCGUUUAUUAGUUUCAAACAAAAUUGUUGCUGAGUCAUGGUAAACGGUUGAUCGAUUCGACAUCCCGGAACAGUUUCCGCCCCAUCAGCUUCGAUGGUUGGGUAUUGGCCUACCAUUGCAACAACGGGUGACGAGGAAUUAGGGUUUGAUUUCGGAGAGGGAGCCUGAGAAACGGCUACCACAUCUACGGAUGGCAGCAGGCGCGCAAAUUACCCAAUGCAGACUCUGUGAGGUAGUGACGAGAAAUAAUAAAGUUGGGCUUCUGUCUAACUAUUAUAAUGAGGAAUAACUAAAAAUCAUUCCCUAUUAGCAACUGAUGGGAAAGUCUGGUGCCAGCAGCCGCGGUAAUACCAGCUUCAGUANCAUAUACUAAAAUUGUUGCAGUUAAAACGUCCGUAGUCUGUACGUCGUCAAUGACUUUACUACUGUGCCUUCCUGUUUUUGUAACGGUUGGGUAACUGUUAGUUACUCCCUUGAUCAAUUANAAA